ensembl:miRNA Mir423 microRNA 423
AUAAAGGAAGUUAGGCUGAGGGGCAGAGAGCGAGACUUUUCUAUUUUCCAAAAGCUCGGUCUGAGGCCCCUCAGUCUUGCUUCCUAACCCGCGC